AUACCCGCCCAAACCCUUCCCCAUUCCCCAAUUGUUCCUCCUGCGACUCUCAAUUCAACCAAGCCCCAGGCGAUUCGUUCAAGAUUUCAGCCGUUGGAAUUCUAAAAUCAGUCCAGUCAAGGCAUGGCUUAGCAGUGAAUUUUGAGAAGUCAUUAUGGUGAGAUUUGUUGCGUUUUUGUGAAAAUUUAGAUUAAAUUUUUAAUGCCAAGUGAUUUGCUGUGUGAAGUUCAGAAGAUAAACAUUGCCUUCCAGAAAGAGAAGGCUAUUUAUGUGUUGUUAUUUCUUCGAUUUAAAGAUGAGAAGACAUUUAUUUAUGAUGCGAAGAUUACAUUUCAGUACCUUAGUUUUAGGAUUGCUGUUCUUAGUGAAUUUUUCUUUCCUGUUUUUAAAUAACGCCAGUUUCCCUUUUCACCAUAUUCUGUUAAAUGGUUUUGAACUUUCGUAUUCAUACUACCAACCAUGUUAUUUAUAUCAAAUCGGUUGAGUAUGUGCCCAUUAGAACUUUGUUGUUGUGCUUCAACAUGUUUUGAUGCUGUAUCUUUGAUAAUGUCUGCUGUUAUUGUAUUGAUCCACAGUUCUGUUUCCUGCCAUGCCGAUCAUUCAUAUUUGCAGGUGAAAACUAUGCAUAAGUUCUUGAAUUGCGUCACAUUGCACAGUGGCUAGUUGUUACUAUGUGCUUCACGUUAUAUUAUUUCACUUGCUUCUCUGUGCUUAUAAAAUAUGACCAGGGUAGUUGCUAAGAAUCCACCUGAAUGUGUUGUGUAUAUAUUGAAGAAUUUUAACCAUUUUGUACAUUUGUGCAUUGGAAAGAACUGGACUUUUGGCUCAACAGAUGUUUAUAUUCUGCACAGCUAAGCAAGCAGGAAAUGUGGUUCUCUCCCUCUUGUUUUAAGGAUGUAAAAUUAUCCACAUCAACCGUAGUAUUGUGAUUAUAUUGUUGACGUUAUAAGGGAAAUAUGAUAAGUUCACAAAUUUGGACUCUGGUGGUUUGACAUCGUCACAGGUGUUGAGCUAUUUUUGGAAAGAUGGCCAUAAUUAGAGAAAGAAGAAAGAUGGAAAGGCAGUGAAAGAGGCUCAUGAAAGGCUCAAGGUAUGUGCUGGAUGAUAUUUCUCUGCGUCAUGGACUUCAAUUUUACUGGUUGAAAUCUGAAAAAUUGCUCUAGCAGUUUGUUAUGAUGCCUUGAAUGGCACUCUUGUUUGUUAGGAUUUUUAUUUUUUAACACAGUGAAGUUAUUUGGUUGGUUUUAAUUGAAUAAUUAGAGUGAAUGGCAGCAUAAUCACAGCAGUGACAAAUCAAAGUUCUGGUUCGAUUAAUUAUUAUUUAAUCUAUGUUAUGUCUUAAGGUUGUGAUUUGAAAUGAAAGAAUGUUACUGAAAUUCAUUUGUGUACUCUGCUUUUUCAUUGUACUCAUUAUUUUAUUUCAUUUCCUGGACAACAAUUUGAUGAAAGUCGGCUUAAAACAUUUGCAAUUCAGAGUAAGCUGAAAAUGACACUUCUAAUGUCAUCUAGUCCUGCUUGUUUAAUUAUCUCUCUGUCAUUAGUUUUUUUUUCCUUUCUUGGUGAUAUCGUUACUUGUGCACUUUUUGGUGGAAACAACAAGCAUCUGAAUCUCAAGGAAAAUUUUCAAAGUCAGAGCCUAAAGAUGAAGUGAGGCCUUGGGCAAGGAAGAAGACGAGGAACAUGGUGAGACUCUUUGUGGUGCUUGUGGAGAAGUGGUUCCAUGGCAAGUGAUUGAAGAUUGCACCAGCUAGAGCCGAGCAUAUCAAGCAAUACAAGUGUCAUUGUGCAAUAACAAGAGGGCUCUUGCUUGAUGUGGAAUAUGAAUCAUACUAUCUGUACUCUUGAUAAACUUCUCAUGUCUUUGUUGUUACAAGUAAAAUUAAUCUUGUAAAUGGCACUCCUGUUUAUGUACCGACUAUUAAUACCUGAAAUAUGAGCAAUAUAGUUUUACUUUUGCGGCAA